UGCCCAACAACUCCUAUCCCUACCUCCUCGUGGUACUGGCCGGGGUACGAGUAACCUUGGGGAAGAUCGGGUAACCAAUACAUAUGGGGUGGGAACUUUGGUCGUAUGCUGACAGGGAAGG
rnacentral:ribozyme from 1 species